UCUGGUUCAGGAUAAACGCUGGCACCAUGCCUAAUACAUGCAUGUCGUACGAGAGCUUCGGCUCGAGUGGCAAAUGGGUGAGUAACACGUAAGGAACCUGCCCUAGCGACGAGGAUAACGGUUGGAAACGACUGCUAAUACUGGAUAGUAUAUCGGACCGCGUGAUCUGAUAUUUAAAGCAGCUUCGGCUGCACGCUAGGAUGGCCUUGCGGCGCAUUAGAUAGUUGGUGAGGUAACGGCCCACCAAGUCAAUGAUGCGUAGCUGAACUGAGAGGUUAAACAGCCACAUUGGGACUGAGACACGGCCCAAACUCCUACGGGAGGCAGCAGUAGGGAAUUUUCGGCAAUGGGCGAAAGCCUGACCGAGCAAUGGUGCGUGAACGAUGAAGAUCCUUGGAUCGUAAAGUUCUUUUAUAAGGGAAGAAUACAUCAAGUAGGUAAUGACUUGGUGCUGACGGUACCUUUUGAAUAAGCUCCGGCCAACUAUGUGCCAGCCGCGGC
rnacentral:rRNA from 1 species